UACGUAGGGGGCAAGCGUUGUCCGGAAUCAUUGGGCGUAAAGCGCGCGUAGGCGGCUCGAUCAGUCUGUUGUGAAAGUCAAAGGCUCAACCUUUGAAUGCCGAUGGAUACUGUCGAGCUAGAGUCCGGAAGAGGCGGGUGGAAUUCCUGGUGUAGCGGUGGAAUGCGCAGAUAUCUGGAGGAACACCGGUGGCGAAGGCGACAUCCUGGACCGGUAUUGACGCUGAGGCGCGAAAGCCAGGGGAGCAAACGGG
rnacentral:rRNA from 1 species